ACCCUUCCGGUUGCAGCCUGAGUAAUUAGGCUGAUGGCUGGUGACUUUUUAGUCACCAGCCU
rnacentral:sRNA from 2 species